rnacentral:rRNA from 1 species
UAGGGAAUCUUCGGCAAUGGACGAAAGUCUGACCGAGCAACGCCGCGUGAGUGAAGAAGGUUUUCGGAUCGUAAAACUCUGUUGUUAGAGAAGAACAAGGACGUUAGUAACUGAACGUCCCCUGACGGUAUCUAACCAGAAAGCCACGGCUAACUACGUGCCAGCAGCCGCGGUAAUACGUAGGUGGCAAGCGUUGUCCGGAUUUAUUGGGCGUAAAGCGAGCGCAGGCGGUUUCUUAAGUCUGAUGUGAAAGCCCCCGGCUCAACCGGGGAGGGUCAUUGGAAACUGGGAGACUUGAGUGCAGAAGAGGAGAGUGGAAUUCCAUGUGUAGCGGUGAAAUGCGUAGAUAUAUGGAGGAACACCAGUGGCGAAGGCGGCUCUCUGGUCUGUAGCUGACGCUGUGGCUCGAAAGCGUGGGGAGCAAACAGU